rnacentral:rRNA from 1 species
AGCUACAGGCUUAACACAUGCAAGUCGAGGGGCAGCAUGGUCUUAGCUUGCUAAGGCCGAUGGCGACCGGCGCACGGGUGAGUAACGCGUAUCCAACCUGCCUUACACUCUUGGACAGCCUUCUGAAAGGGAGAUUAAUACAAGAUGUUAUCAUGAGUAAGCAUUUUCGCAUGAUUAAAGGUUUACCGGUGUAAGAUGGGGAUGCGUUCCAUUAGAUAGUAGGCGGGGUAACGGCCCACCUAGUCUUCGAUGGAUAGGGGUUCUGAGAGGAAGGUCCCCCACAUUGGAACUGAGACACGGUCCAAACUCCUACGGGAGGCAGCAGUGAGGAAUAUUGGUCAAUGGACGAGAGUCUGAACCAGCCAAGUAGCGUGAAGGAUGAAGGUUCUAUGGAUUGUAAACUUCUUUUAUACGGGAAUAAACGAAUCCACGUGUGGAUUUUUGCAUGUACCGUAUGAAUAAGGAUCGGCUAACUCCGUGCCAGCAGCCGCGGUAAUACGGAGGAUCCGAGCGUUAUCCGGAUUUAUUGGGUUUAAAGGGAGCGUAGAUGGGUUGUUAAGUCAGUUGUGAAAGUUUGCGGCUCAACCGUAAAAUUGCAAUUGAUACUGGCAGUCUUGAGUACAGUUGAGGUAGGCGGAAUUCGUGGUGUAGCGGUGAAAUGCUUAGAUAUCACGAAGAACUCCGAUUGCGAAGGCAGCUUACUAACCUGUAACUGACAUUGAUGCUCGAAAGUGUGGGUAUCAAACAGGAUUAGAUACCCUGGUAGUCCACACGGUAAACGAUGAAUACUCGCUGUAGGCGAUAUACAGUCUGCGGCCAAGCGAAAGCAUUAAGUAUUCCACCUGGGGAGUACGCCGGCAACGGUGAAACUCAAAGGAAUUGACGGGGGCCCGCACAAGCGGAGGAACAUGUGGUUUAAUUCGAUGAUACGCGAGGAACCUUACCCGGGCUUAAAUUGCAACCGAAUAUGGCGGAAACGCUAUAGCUAGCAAUAGCGGUUGUGAAGGUGCUGCAUGGUUGUCGUCAGCUCGUGCCGUGAGGUGUCGGCUUAAGUGCCAUAACGAGCGCAACCCUUGCCGAUAGUUACUAACAGGUCAUGCUGAGGACUCUGUCGGGACUGCCAUCGUAAGAUGUGAGGAAGGUGGGGAUGACGUCAAAUCAGCACGGCCCUUACGUCCGGGGCUACACACGUGUUACAAUGGGGGGUACAGAGGGCUGCUACCACGCAAGUGGAUGCCAAUCCCAAAAACCUCUCUCAGUUCGGAUUGAAGUCUGCAACCCGACUUCAUGAAGCUGGAUUCGCUAGUAAUCGCGCAUCAGCCACGGCGCGGUGAAUACGUUCCCGGGCCUUGUACACACCGCCCGUCAAGCCAUGGGAGCCGGGGGUACCUGAAGUGCGUAACCGCAAGGAGCGCCCUAGGGUAAAACUGGUGACUGGGGCUAAA